AUUCAUACAAUGAGAUGAAGGUGUUUAAUGUCUUCUUUUUUAUAUUUAUAAUUUAAUACCAUAGUAGGUGUUGAGGGUUGCCUUCAAACUCCAAUUCAUGGAAAACGUGCCCUCGAGCAAUGUCCAAAGUGCGAGAAAAAUUAAGAUGAGGCAUCAAAAUCAUGCAAUCUAAAAGCCUGACAUUGCCAGAGUUGAUGCAAAUAUCAAAGAAAGGAUAUUAUAAAUAGCCUCAUUUGACGACUCAAAAAGGAGAAGAGCUUGACACCACAUUGAUAUGAGGAUCUUUCGUGCAAGUAAGCUCAGAAAGCGAGAUCAGACUAAGAGAAGUGAGUUGGAGGUCAAGUCAAUGAGGGGCUUACAACAACGAUGAACACGUGUAAGAUCUGCACCUCAACAAUAGAUGCUAUACCAUAAACUAAGAAAUUUUUUCAUGGAUAACCAAAAUAUAGUUAUGCUAAUGUUAAAUGACCUAAAAACAAUGAAAACUAACAUUUUGCUUAAGUAAAAAUUAACCAACCAACGUUGAAUUCUUCCUUGUAGCCCAUUCACAAUCGUUGGUUUGCACCCAUCGCGAAUUAAUGAGACUCCAAAUGCGAUUACAAGGUGCUAUCACAAAGUUAGUUUUCAUUAUUUUAUAUAGUUUAGGUCAUUUGACAUUACCAAAAUCAGAAUUUUGUCAUUUGGACAAAACUCUCAUAAAUUGAUGGUAGAGACAUCUUUUAAGAUCUAUUGAAAGUAUAACCCAAUUUAGGAAUUUAGAAGUGUAAGAGACUAAAAUCUUGGAAGUUGUAAUGCACAAUACCAAAAGAAAUAUUUUGGCCUUAAUCAAACCCAUGUUGUACCGCUAAAAACACAGCGUUAAGCUAAAGAAUGAGAAAUUGACCUUGCUUAAUCAGUCGGGAAAGGAUUUUUUUUUUUUUACCCCUUUUCUCCCUAAAUAGGAAGGGAAUCAUUUUGGGGAAAAAAUAACCUCUUCAAUAUAAAGAAAAAUAUUUUUUUUAAAAAAAAAUAUGAUCAUAUUAAAUAUAAUUUUAAAUGUUU